UCGGACGUGGUGCAUGGUGCACGCCCGCUCGCAAUUGCGCGGUUUAUUAUGGUGAAUAAAGCGGGAGAGCUGGGUUCGAUUCCCAGUGUCCGAG